rnacentral:rRNA from 1 species
GACGAACGCUGGCGGCGUGCCUAAUACAUGCAAGUAGGACGCAGUUGCGAAUGGGGGAGUAAUGCGUAGGUAACUACCUAGUAGAGGGGGAUAACUAUUGGAAACGUUCGCUAAUACCGCAUACUAGUAGAUGGACCUGCGUUGUAUUAGCUAGUAGGUAGGGUAAUGGCAUACCAAGGCAACGAUACAUAGCCGAGCGUAGAGGGUGAUCGGCGACACUGGGACUGAGACACGGCCCAGACUCCUACGGGAGGCAGCAGUAGGGAAUCUUCGGCAAUGGGGGGAACCCUGACCGAGCAACGCCGCGUGAGUGAAGAAGGUUUUCGGAUCGUAAAGCUCUGUUGUUAAGGAAGCGGUACUUAACCAGAAAGGGACGGAUAACUACGUGCCAGCAGCCGCGGUAAUAC